rnacentral:tRNA from 1 species
AAAAAUUUAGUUAAAAUAUAACAUUAGCUUGUCAAGUUAAAAUAAUUAAUCAAAAUUAAUAAUUUUUA